rnacentral:rRNA from 1 species
AAGUCGUAACAAGGUUUCCGUAGGUGAACCUGCGGAAGGAUCAUUAAUGGGUUUACCGCCUCCGGGCACAAUCCCCACCCUUUGUAACUGCGGCCAGGAUUCGGCGCCUGGCGAGGGACCCCCUCCGUUUGCGGAGGGCCCCCCGCCUGCCGGAAUUAGCCAACCCUGCCUAGAAAAUUGAAGUCUGAGAACAAGUUAAAUUAAACAAAACUUUCAACAACGGAUCUCUUGGUUCUGGCAACGAUGAAGAACGCAGCGAAAUGCGAUAAGUAAUGUGAAUUGCAGAAUUCAGUGAAUCAUCGAAUCUUUGAACGCACAUUGCGCCCCCUGGUAUUCCGGGGGGCACACCUGUUCGAGCGCCAUUUCUACCCUGGAGCCCUGCUCUGUGAUGGGCCCCGUCCUCGCGGACGGGCCCGAAACCCGUGGGCGCCGUCGUCCGGCCCUGAGCGUAGCAAGAGAAAUCCCUCGCUCGGAGUGUCUGUCGGCAGCCGCCCUUGAAACCUAUUUUUACAAGGUUGGCCUCGGAUCAGGUGGGGAUACCCGCUGAACUUAAGCAUAUCAAUAAGCGGAGGAAAAGAAACCAACAGGGAUUGCCUCAGUAACGGCGAGUGAAGCGGCAACAGCUCAAAUUUGAAAUCUGGCGCAAGCCCGAGUUGUAAUUUGUAGAGGAUGUUUCGGGUGAAGCCACGGUCCAAGUCCCUUGGAACAGGACGUCAUAGAGGGUGAGAACCCCGUACCUGGCCGUCGGUGCCCCCCGCUGUGAAACUCCUUCGAUGAGUCGAGUUGUUUGGGAAUGCAGCUCUAAAUUGGUGGUAAAUUCCAUCUAAAGCUAAAUACCGGCCAGAGACCGAUAGCGCACAAGUAGAGUGAUCGAAAGAUGAAAAGCACUUUGAAAAGAGAGUUAAAAAGUACGUGAAAUUGUUGAAAGGGAAGCGCUUGCGGCCAGACUUGCCCGCGGUUGCUCAGCUCGCCUUUUGGCGGGUGCACUCUUCCGCGGUCAGGCCAGCAUCGGUUUGGGCGGUCGGAUAAAGGCGUAGGGAACGUGACCUCCCCUCGGGGAGGUGUUAUAGCCCUGCGCGCAAUGCGACCAGCCUGGACCGAGGUUCGCGCUUUGCUAGGAUGCUGGCGUAAUGGCCGUAAGCGGCC